GGCAGCUGGAGGUAAACCAGCUUAGAGCUCGUGUCAUGGAAGGCAGAAGCCUUGGCCUGCUCUGUCCCUCGAGCUCUCUGGGCCCGAUUGAGGCUGGGGAGAGGAUCGCUUGGAGCAGGCACCCAAGAGUUCCGCUGGCACCGACGCUUCGCUCCUUUGGGCUGCGGUGGAGGUAGGGAGCCGCUUUCUCCUUGAAAUUCGUCUUGCAAUUCCACAAUUUGAGGGUGUGUUUUAAAGAUCUAUUGGUGUCCCUUGUACUCUGGCUUGGACACAGACGACGAUGUUGCUGAGGGGCUUUGGAGACUGUUACGUGCACAAGUGUAACGCGUGGAAGGCAUGGGGCAAAAUCUGUUCUUCAGAUACAAGAAAUACUGUGCAAGAGCAAGUGUGCUGUUCAGAAACGCGGGUACGCUUCUGUACAGGGUGUGAGGGUUGUAUUUGCUUCUUUUUGCUCAGUGAAGUGUUUGAAUCAAGCACCCGAGUAAAUACGGUUCUUGGAUAUAAUGCCUUCUUUUUUUUUUCUGUCUUUCUUUUUCCUUCCUACCCUUACAACAACCUUUAGCUGCCUUUUCCCCUUCCAGUGUAGGUAAGGAAGGAAGGACUCAAAGAAAAACAGCAGGCUGGACAGGUGCUUCCUCGCAUUUCAGUCACGAAUGGGCAGUAGUUUUAAUCAUCUUUCCCCGCGGUUUUACGAUAAUACCAGAAGUCUGGUGGAGAUCCAGUUAAAUCUUCGAGAAUAGAAGACGGGCUUAGAGGAAUUCCGUGCCAGCACAAAAUCAGGCCUACAGGUGUUUGUCUUCUUCCUCAACAUCAGGCGUGUCCAGGCUAUGGGUCUGGGGGCUGAGUUUGGUUGGUCUGGACAGGAGUAAAACAACUCACUUUGAUCCGGACCAAAGAGGAUGGAGGGUCAGCACCCCAAUCCCAGGUGGAGAAAGGGUACUGUCUCUUAUGAGGACAAAGCUGGGAAACAGAGCUGCAAGAGCCCAGAGGGAUCGCCUUCCGGACCCCCUGCGUCUGACCCUAGUAAGCAGCCAGAGCAAAGAAGACUGGGGCAUAGGUGCGUGCCUGUUGCGUGGUGCAGCAGGAGGUGGAUGCUGCAGGCGCUUUAGGAAGCUGCUAGCUUUAGCCCGUUUCAUUCCGGCAAGGCUGGGCACCAUCCUCUUAGUGGCCUCCGGCCUGCGCCCACCUCCAGCGGCCUCAGUCUAGAACCGGGCGGAGCUCCAUGUUUCUCUGGUCCGGGUUUUCAGGAGCUUUCAGCGCCUCCAGCAACUUGUACCUCUAGGGAAAUGCCUGCCUUGCCAGGGAGCCUUGACCAGAGCAGCCCCUCAGCAAGGCUGGUGUAGCCUCCGAAGUCUGGACCGCCACCGACGUGAGCAAGUCGCUGAUCCCUAAUGAAGAUGCUUUUCUCCCGGGCUGAGCUUCCUAAAGCUGCCGCAGAAGCACCGCGGACCGCCUCGCGAGGCAGGCUGCUGGUUCCCCAGCACUGUUCAGGUCGGACGCUCAGCCACUCUGCUGGCUGACAGUACCUCAGAUCCUUUCUUAUCAGUCCCAGCCGGAGUUCCCACCAGAAUCGAAGAACCAGGAGGCUGAAGCCCUCUUCCGUGCAAGCUGCCUCUGCAGCGCAUUAGAAAGAGAAGAGCUUCAAUGUGUGUGUGUGUGUGUGUGUGUGUGUGUGUGUGUGUGUGUGUGUGUGUGUGUGUACCUCCCUACCUUCGCACCUACAACACACACACACACACACACACACAAAGUGACCCCCAUCCACCACUCUUCCUCAACCCCAAACCCUCUCCACCCCUUUACUCCCCCAGCUCACCAGUUGCAAAUACUAGUUCAGAUUCUGAAAGUUUUAGUAGACGUGUGUUAAAUUGCCUCUUGAAUUCCAAGUCUCAUCACAGACCAGCAUGACCUCCCAUUUCAUGGCUUUCCAUGUGAGGAAAAGCCUGCCAGACUGUGGGUUCAGAGUCCCAGUAGUGUUCUCAGGACAUUUGCAGAUUAGGUCAGGGCCCCUUUGUUUCUCAAUACCACAAAGAAGACACCAGCCUGGGCAUCUCUCUACAGUGUUUGUUCAGGGAUGGUCACUUGUUCUAGACAGAGGUGAUGGUUUGAGGAUGCUGUACCUUGUCCUGGAAAAUGCUCCCAGGAGAGGAUUUGUGAACAGUGCGAGAGCAGGAAGUGGGCUUCUGGACAGGGUCUUGUGUGUGUGGGGGGGGGUGAGGGGGGCGCUGGCCAGCAGCCUUCCCCUCAGGACUACUUCCUAUCAGGUCAUAUGCAAGGGUUUUACACUCUGAGCAGCCCAUCCUUCCUUAGGUUCCUUUGUAAACUAAUUGAGGCUUUGCUGGGCUCUGGGUUUGUGAUUGGACAUAAUUACUGGCAGACCGUUGUGCUGGUACACGCCAGUACUCAUAUUCUGCAUUUGGGGUCUUUGGCAGUGGAUAACUGGGGAUCCUGGUGUGCUCUGUUCCAGGUAUCUUUUGGCUUCGGUGUUUUGCUUGGUGAAAUGAAAGAUCUGUAACUAUCUGGAUAGAAAGGCUGUAUGGACAUGGAAACACAAGUCCAGAAACAUGCAUCGUCUGUGUUAGCCCACAGAGGCACCUGGUGUAGAAAGAACGGGGCUUGUUGUUUUAGGACAAGGUUUGGAACUCUUUUGUAGACCAGGUUGGCCUUGACUGAGAUCUGCCUGCCUCUUCGUGUUGAGCACCCUUAUUAAAGGUGCCAGCAAACCGCACACCACAGUCUGUAUGUAGCAUUGACGGGCUGGAAGUCACUACAGUGGGGCAGGUGACAAAGGCCCUUGCUUAAUUCUCAAUUAUAUCAGCCUUGGAAAUAAAGGGACCUUGUCUUGCUUCAGUGCUUACAUUGACACCAGUUUUUGAAGAGCAAUAUAAUUCACCUGAACCCCAGCCCCCAAAUACAGAAGACUUGCAAUACAAAGUCUCUUUCUCACUCUUCCUAAGUUACCCAUCUCACAGGCAGCCAGAACCCUAUAUUUUAUGCCUAUCCAAGCGUGAACAUUGGUUUUCUCCUGUACACUGCCACUUUUAUAGUUACAAAGCACCCUAGAAAUCCUUGUAUAUCAGUCCCUCCCACCCCCAGGGUCUCUCUCUCAGCUCAGGCUACCCUGGAGCCUGAGAUACUCCUUUAGGCUCUCAGAUUUCAGGUGUGCAUCGAGACGCCCCAUCUCAAUGUACUUUCUUUAUAGAGCUGAGAGGAGUUGUGUCCAUGCAUCUUCACUGUCAACUUGCUUGAACCUGGAACCAAAUAGGAAACACACUUGUGAGCAUGUUUGCACAUCCUAGGGACUGAACACGAAGAAGGGAGGAAGCGAGCCUGUUGUGGUUUGCCCUGAAGCUAUCUGUAUUUUGAUGCUAAUUCCACUGCCCCAAGGACUGCUGCCUAGUCAGUACUCAGGACUCAGGUGACUUCAUCAGAACCACCUCCCCAUUGAAUUUGUAAAGUACAGGUGAAGGGCAGGUACAGGAUAGAAGGAGGCCUGUCAUUGGAGGAGAAGGAAGGAUGGGCGGGAGAGACGUUUGAAGGAAGAGGAGGAGACUAGACAGAGACGUGAGACAGGAGAGAGGGGAGAAGCCACGGCAGGACAAGAUGGCAGGUGAUGUUAAGAUUCUGCUCUGUGUAUUUACAGGUUGUUAUUAAUGUUCUCAAGGGAUGGAUAGUACUGGGUUUUGUAUGUUUAAGUGUGCAAUUAUAUCUUACUAAUUGGAUCUAAGAUUAUUGUGUUGUGUGUUCUUUUUUUUUUUUUAAGAUUUAUUUAUUUCAUGUAUAUGAGUACACUGUCACUGUCUUCAGACACACCAGAAGAGAACAUUACAGAUUGUUGUGAGCCACCAUAUGGUUGCUGGGAAUUGAACUCAGGACCUCUGGAAGAGCAAUCAGUGCUCUUAACCGCUGAGCCAUCUCUCCAGCCCUUGUGUGUGUUUUUUUUUUGUGAGGGUUUGAGUGUAAGAAAGUGUGCUGCUAGGGGCUGGGGAUUUAGCUCAGUGGUAGAGCGCUUACCUAGGAAGCGCAAGGCCCUGGGUUCGGUCCCCAGCUCCGAAAAAAAGAACCAACAAAAAAAAAAAAAAAAAAAAGAAAGUGUGUGGCUGGGAUGUGUUUCCGCCAAGAUAUCUAGCAGAUAUCUUGGGCCCCGUGGUGCGGACCCAGUGGGGGUAAAAGACCAACCAUAUUUUUUUUUAUUUUUAUAUUUAUACAACAACACGAGCCCAGCUCCAGCAUUUAUCUCACUGCAUCCUGAUUGUACACAGGAUGUGGCCAUCUGCCUCAUGCUUCUCACCACCAUGCUCUCCCUACCAUGAAGGACUUUACACCUUCAAUCUGGGAGCCCAAAUGGCUUUUGAUAUAUAUCAUAUACGUAUCUGUAUAUGUAUUUGUUUUCAGUUUUUAUUUAGUGCGUGCCCACUCAGUGGUGUUCGUGUAUCUCUCUCUCUCUCUCUCUCUCUCUGUUGUGCAUGUGUUAUGUGCCAUAUGUGUGAGGGUUCCAGUUAGAGUCCCAGGCAGUUGUGAACUUCCUGGUGCAGGUGCUGGGAACAGAACUUGGGUCCCCAGGAAGAACGAUAAAUUGUCUUACUCCCUGAGCCAUCUCUCCAGCCUUUUUUUUUUGUCAGAUACAUUAGCACAACAGGAAAGUUAAUUAACGCGGCUUCUAGGUUGUUUCCAAACCUUUGUUUACAAAAGCAAUGCUUCAGUGUACAGUCUUGUAUAGUUAGUUUUGUAGACAUAUCUGUAUAUUUGAAAGCAGCAUUUUCUAGCAGUUGUGUCGAAUGGUGUGCACAUUUAUAAGUUCGGCAAGUUAUGCAAAGCUAUCUCUCCAGAAUGCACCAGUAUAGAUGCCCAUCAACAGGGAAUUAGAUUCUAGUUUCUUCUAGAUUUCAGUACACACUUUAAGUCGUGGGAGAGGGGUUCCCCUCGUAGCCCAGGCUGACCUCAAACUCAUGUGUCUUCUGCCUCUGCCUCACAAGGGCUGGGAUCUGGGGUCGUGUGCCAGCCCAACUUGCUACAUCUUUGUUUUUCAAGGUAGAGACCUUACAGAUUAGCCGAGGACUCAUCUGCAUCUGCCUUUGGUUUCUUUCUGUCUGUUUCUCUCCUGGAGUGAUCAUCACAGCAAAUUUACUGUUUAACAUUCCUGUACCUGUUAUGACAUGUGUGCAACAUGUGUACGUACUCCUGGGCAGUAAAUCAAGUUCUGGGGCUCGUAGCUUACUAUAACUGGUAUCUGGUUGUUCUAAAAGCCACGCGCCUGCUUUUUGAAUUCUACCACAUGUUUGUGAAAGCGCUCCCGGUCGAUACACAAAGACAUUCUCCCUGUGUGGUACCACUCCAUUGUAUGAACACGCCGUGGUUUAUUUAUCCGUGUCCCUAUUGAGAGGCACUGCAUCAUUUCCUAGUCUCCACUGUUGCCCCAUCGCCCUGCUUUGGGCUUUCUUAGACGUUGCUGCUACCGCACAUUGGCUGCGGUUGGCCAAGGGUGGGAGUGCAGGGUCAGAGGUGACUCACCCAGUUACCACCCAGCAGAGCCUCGGCUGCUGCUAGUGGAGUCUCCAUCUUGCUGGAGCCAGCAGUCUAGAUGGAGCAGUGGGAGAAAGUGUAAGCUUGGGUUUCAGCCAUAUCACCGACAUCCUGGCUCUGUGAUUUACUUGCUGGGUGGCUUUGGAAUGGUUUCUCAGUCUUUCUGGGACUUGGUUCUCUGGAACUCGAAUGCAAAUGGUGGUAGAAUUCAGGGUGUGGGGUUUCCAAGUAGACAAAGCGAGGUAGUGUAUGUAAAGGUUUAGUAUAGACUCUGGCAGGAAAUCUCAGUAAUCGGUAUUCAAAAUGUGCUUACAUAUUAGUAUUUCUAUGUUCUCCCUGUGUUCCUCUCUGUGUCUCCCGGGUCUCCUGUGUGUGUGUGUAACCUCAGCAGAUUUGGGAACUCAUUACAUAGCUGAGGCUAUCCUUAAACUCUUGAUCCUCCUGCCUCAGCCUCUGGAAUAGGAUUACGGUUGUGGACUACCAUGCUAUGUCUGCUUUGAAGGCAACUACUUGGAUCCGACCACAGAGACAUCCAUCACUUCAUUUUCAAGAAUUGCAACCUGUAGGCCAAAAACAUGAACACCGAAGAAAACAUAAGUAUAACGCCAUGACUGCACCUAAAAGCCGAGAAUGGCCUUUUUGGUAUAAUGGGUACCCAUUCAAUGUUCAUAAUUGCUCAGUUUGGUCAAGAAAUUUAUAGUUGGUUUGUUUGAGUCCAUGAACUCAAGCAAGGCCUGUACAUUGCUUUUGGUUAUUGUCUCUUCAGUCUUUUUUUUUUUUUUUUUUGGCUAUUGAAAACACUUCCCCCACCCACCUCUAAUACAACUCUGUGUGUGUGUGUGUGUGUGUGCCUGUAUAUGUGAGUGUAUGUGUGUGUAUGUGUAUGUGUGUGCGUGUGUGUGUGUGUGUGCGUGUGUGUGUGUGCCUGUAUAUGUGUGUGCAUGUGUGUGUGUGCCUGUAUAUGUGUGUGUAUGUGUAUGUGUGUGUGUGCAUGUGUGUGUGUUUGUGUGUGUGUGCCUGUAUAUGUGUGUGUAUGUGCCUGUAUAUGUGUGUGUAUGUGUGCAUAUGUAUGUGUGUGUAUGUAUGUGUGUGCAUGUGUAUGUUUGUGUGUGUAUGUGUGUGUGCAUGUGUGUAUGUGUGUAUAUGUGUGUGUGUGCCUGUAUAUGUGUGUGUAUGUGUGUGUAUGUGUAUGUGUGUGCGUGUGUGGUGUGUGUGCGUGUGUGUGUGUGUGCGUGUGUGUGUGCCUGUAUAUGUGUGUGCAUGUGUGUGUGUGCAUAUAUAUGUGUGUGUAUGUGUGUGUGUGUGCCUGUAUAUGUGUGUGUAUGUGUAUGUGUGUGUGUGCAUGUGUGUGUGUUUGUGUGUGCAUGUGUGUGUGUUUGUGUGUGUGUGCCUGUAUAUGUGUGUGUGUAUGUGUGCAUAUGUAUGUGUGUGUAUGUGUAUGUUUGUGUGUGUGUAUGUGUGUGUGCAUGUGCAUGUGUGUGUGCAUGUGUGUGUGUGUGUGUGUGUGUGUGUGUGUGUGUUGGGUAUUGUUCCUCAGGAGCCAUCUAUCUUGUGUUUAGACACAUGGCUUCUCACAGGGACCUGGGACUUACCAGUUAGUCUAGGCUGGCUGGUCAAUGGGUCCCAGGGAUCUGUUUAUCGACCUCCCCAUCCACCAACUACAGGCGUGUUCCACUGUGCCUGACUUUUAAAAAGCAAGAGCAAAAGUUCUCAUUCUUGCAUGGCAAACACUUCACCAAUGACGCUAUCUCUAUGGCCCUUCCUUCUUCUUGUAAUGUAUCUGUGAAAGGUCUCGACCAGUUUGUAGUUCAGCACAGUGGGAUUGCGCUGACUGCACCCUGGGGCACCUCCUUUAUCCUUCAUAGUUCCUGUGCAUUGAUCGUUGCCAUAGUUUGGGUGAGAUGUACCUCCCCGAAGGCCCAGACUGUACUCCUACAGGCAGAGACCUUUUAGUAGGGCACGGUGUUGAUAAAAGAAAGGUAGGUCAUGGUGUGGUGGGUUGCCUGACAUAGGUCUUCCGUAAGCUCCUGUAUUUGAACACUUGGUCCCUAGUUAUUGGUGUUGUUCAGGAGGUUGUGGAACCUUUAGGAAGCAGAGCCUUACUGCUGGAGGAAGAACAUCAUCGGGAGCUGGCCUUUGAUGGUUUCUAUUCCUCUGGAGCCAUGAGCUGAAAGCCAAAAUAAACUCUGUCUUCUUUAA